UCGCCUAAAACCAUCCACACUGGAGCAUCCGAGCCCCAAUUACAGAAACACUCAAUUCAAAAUAUAUAUAUAUAUAUAUAUGUUUUUUGGAAAAUAAAAAGAGGGAAGAAGAGGAACCUUAUCCCAACCAAAAUCAUUCCAGACAAGAGACAUGUUGUCUGAAAUUUUGAAAGGUCCAUUUUCAAAAAACAAAGCCAAUUCACUGCUGCAUCCUGGCCCUCCUGUUAACCAUAUUACUACUGGAUCAUUCUUGUUGCUUCUUGAUUCAAAGAAAAAAUAAAACAUCCUAGAACAAAACAAAAAAUAUAGCAUUAAUAAAUUGAAACCAACAUCCUAUGAUGAAGAAUGCAAACUCCAACGAGAUGUAAGAUAUAGAGGCAACAAAUUCUAGCGCGAACAUCAAUGGUUGAUUACAUGACUCAAACAAACAAUCUAUAAGUCAAGCAGAGACAACUUAUUACGUUGCUCCAAGAUUCCCUUCUAAAUAGAAAAAACAAAUAAGAAAGGGGGAGUUCGACGGAUAAAAUAUUUCGCGUUCAUGCAAAGUAUAAAGAAAGACUAUACAUCCCAAGGAAAUGUAAUAUUCCUGAUUCCACGACUCGAACCAGUGAUCUAUAGGUCAAGCUGAUCUAUAGGUCAAGCAAGAAAAAACUUGUAGAGUUGAUCCAACGCUCCCCUUCUUUAAAUAAAAAAAAAAAGAAAUGCUAGGACAAACAAAAUAUUUCGCGCUCAUGCAAAGUCAGAGAAAGGACCGCACCUCAAGGGGAUAUAAUAUACUCUAAUCAUCCUAUCUUGACACAAACAUCAGUCAAGCUAAUUUAGAUAUAAAAUAAUUUUACCGUUGCUCCAAGAUUCCGUAUCGAACAAAAACAAACUCAAUGAUAGUAGCAUUGAAAUAUAAAUGCUAAAAAUAUUUAUACACAUUUAUCAAACCUUGCAGAUUUAGUAUGUACAAGAGGAAAAUAACCAGCAUGAUGACCUAAGUGUUGAACAGUAGAACCAGAAUCACCAAUAUAAGAUAAAUUCAAUUUCUUCUCAAAUAAUUUCUCCUCAUAGAUAUUGACAAUAUUUUCCUUUGAAGAAACAAUAUUUAUAUCAUGUUUAGGGAACAAAUUAAGUUGCUUAAUGAGUUUUUCAGUCAUAGUAAUAAGCUUAUUAUCAUCAUCAUGAGAAGAAAAUAAAAAUUUGGAUGAUAAUGAAAGAGAUAUUUGAGAAAAUGAAAUAAGAAAUAAUAUAACAACAAAGAGAAGAGUGAAUGAAGAUGAAGACAUUAUUUUUUUUGGACAAGAUUUUGUAGGAAGAAUAGAAAUUUAUUUAUUUAUAAGGAGAGAAUAUGAGUGUGAAAUGAUUUAUUGUUAUUUAUUUACUUUCUCCGUUCUUAAAUAAGUGAUGUUUUAGUCUUUCUCUUAGAUAAUCAAGAAGACAUUAAUAAUGUUCUUAUUUUAUUGUUCUUUAAAGAGAAAAUGCUCUAUUUCCAUCUUGAAUUAUACGCGAAAAGACUGAGACACAUCCGAACUUUAGGAGGAUCCUAUUAUUCCCGGACUAAUUAAAAUCAUAUUUUUGACAACCUUAGUGCCUAUGUGGCACAUAUGUGGCACAACAUACUGAAGGGUCCACGUAGGCACUAAGGUUGUCAAAAAUACGAUUUUAAUUAGUCCAGGGGUAAUAGCACUUUCCUAAAGUUCGAGUGUGUCUCAACCUUUUCGCGUAUAGUUCAAUGUGGAAAUAAAACAUUUUUCCUUAUUUAAAUAAAUGAGGUUUACAGAAGAAACUACAAAAGAGUUACACUUUUUUCAAGAUAUUUAUCAAGGGUAAGUUAGUAAAAAAACUUUUUAUUUUCUUAGAAUAAGUCAGUUGAAACAUCACUUAUUUAAGAACGGAGGAAAUAUUAUUAUAAGAGUGUGUGUGUGACAGAGAAACAUGGGAUUUUAAAAUUUAAUGGUUUGUUUAACAAUGCUAUAAAUUUGGACAAUUAUCAAUUGUUGGUGGGAAAAUAGGUGCAUGAAAUAAGGAAUGCUAUAGCUUAUAUUUUCUCUAUUCACAUCUUUUAGGGUUUUAUCUAUUUUAAUUUAUUAUAUUAUAUAGGGUUCGAUAUUAUUAUAUAUUUAUAACAAUAAUAAUAUAUAUAACAUGAUUUUAUAAGUGAAGUCUGAGAAAAAUGUGAUAUAUACAGACCUUACACAAUAACCAUUUGUUUAUAGUUUUAUGAUCCUUAAGUUAUUUGACACAUUUUGAUUUUGAUCCUUGUGAUAUAUGAUGGAACAUAUUUAGCAUCUAAUUAAUUACAAUAUGUUAAUUAAUUGAUACUAUAAUUAACAAUUUAAGUAUGUGGUUUGAGCAAAUCCAAUUUAGUCACACAAAAUUGUAUCAUCAUAUUAAUUGAUUGUGAAAGUACAUAACUCUUGCAAUUCUCCCUUUGUUUUCUACCCAAUGUCCGAUAUCUGUAUCAAAGCUUCACUAAUCUAAAUACGUAUUGAGAAGUCAGACUAAUCGGAAUUCAUGUCAUUUAAGUAUCUUAUUUUGAAACCGAACUAAUCCAUAUUCGCACCAGAAAGUCUCAUUUUGGGGUCUGGCUAACUUAAAUUCACAUCGAAAAAUCUUACUUUAAAGGUAAAAUGUUCCUUAUCAAAGGCGACUCUGUAUUCAGGGUUCGAGAUUAUUCAUAUUGCUUUUAAUUAGUGAAACGUGGCCCUUAAAAAAUUGCAUACGCAAGGUUAAUUUAUUCUUGAUUAAAGAAAUCAACAAGUUAUUUAAUUAGGAAACUUAAAAUGUCAUGCUAGCUUAUGUUUCACGUAAUAUAAUCUGUAUACUAAUAUAUGAUAUUGAUAGGUAACACUUUACCUUUAAUACAAGAUUUUUCAGCACGAAUUUGAAUUAAUUUAACUAUAACAUAAUAAGAAUUAGCGACGGAGGUAAAAUGGGAAGUUUAUCUGAACCGAGGGUGUUAUGAUCGGAUAGAAAUAAGCAAACCACAAGCAAAAACAAAACAACACACAAAUUUACGUGGAAACCCUUGCAGGAAAAACCACGGACAGAGGCAAAGGAAUUUCAAUUCACUAUAAUGGAUGGAGAAUACAAUGAGGAGAAUGACGUGUUUUAUGAAUAUCCAAUAACGACCCACUAAUUGCACUUAUAUAAUAUACGUGUGUACAAAUAAAUCCUACACCCCAAAACAUACAGGCCCAAUCCCUACGCUACCAUCGUGAAAAAUCACAAACAUGAGUCGCACCGCGAACUUUUCAGAGUCAGAUCAACAGAAUUUGAGUCACAAACUCUAAUAGAGGGUCUAUUGGAAACAAACCAAACCUGUUUAACCCCUCGGGAUAGUGAUAAGGUCAGUGUACGCACUGGAAUUUGUUGCAUGGUACAAUGUUUUGGUGAGCUAUAUGUAGAGGAUUCUGACUGAUUGAGAAUGCUUAAUUUUAUGCAGCUGCCAUAUGGAGUGAGAGAUGUCGAAAGUCACCUUGUCCCAACCUAAAAAUGGUAAUGCACGACGAGUGGUACCAGUUUUUCCAUCGCGGACAGGUUUUCAGCCUGUUAUCGAGACCUUGAGGGAAGUUUAUCUGAACCGAGGGUCUAUCGGAAACAAACAUGUUUACCCCCUCCUCAGGAUAGGGAUAAGGUUAGCGUACGCAUGCACUACCUUCCACAGAUCCCAUUUGUGUGAUUACACCGGAAUUUGUUGUAUCUUACAAUGUGUUGGAGCCUUGGAGUAACUGGUAAAGUUGCUGCCAUGUGACCGAGGUCACGGGUUCAAGCCUUGGAAACAGCCUCUGGCAGAAUUGCAAGGUAAGGCUGCGUGUGCACCGGGCUGCCCUUUUUUUAAUGUUUUGGAGGUGAAGAUGUUGAAGGUCACCUUGUCCCGACCAAAGAAUUGUAAUGCACGACAUAUAUGAGCGGUAUCAGUCUUGCCAUCGCGGACAGGUUUUCAGCCUGUUAUCGAGACCUUGAGGGAACUGUAUCGAGCAAGAGGGAGUUCAUAUAGAGCUAUUGCAUUCAAGCGUUUUUGUGUCGAAUGUUUUCUUGAGAAACCUUUAUGGUUGUGUGCAUCUCCAUCAUUCCAUUGAUGGCGCCUACCUUAUCCCCCAGUAGGCAAGUCAAGCCAAAGCCCGGAAUAAUAAGUAACGGCCUAAUAGGCAGAAAUCAGAAAAGAUCGCGUAUAAUGAUAGCAAUAGUAAUAACAAGUAACAAACAGAAAGAAAACAUAUCUCAUAUACUAAAACGAGGGAAGGAAAAGGACCAAAUACACAAAAGAAUCCCUCCCAAGACCUGAUAAGGUCGGUACUAGAGCCACUACUAAAAUUUACCCAGAGUACUAGACAGAAUCCAAAACAUAUCAAAUAUACACAAGCAGUCUCGAGUACAACUUACGGAGGACAUGACCCUUGAUAGGAAAGUGUGGAGGACGCAGAUUAGGGUAGAGGGUUAGGGGGUGGGAGUGCGUCGGUAAUAGUAGGAGAGCGUUCUUUUGUGUCUGGAGUUUCUUGUUCGUGGUAUUGUGGUUGUAGUAUUAUCUUGUGAUUAAUGGUAUUAGUUUAUUUUGCAUACGAUACUAGUUUAUAUGCUCUUUUGUGUUUGUUAUACUGUUAGUUUAUUUUGCAUACCAUACUAGUUUAUAUGAACUUAUCUUUUGUGUUUGUUAUACUGUCAUCGUUCCUCAGCCGGGGGUCUAUCGGAAACAACCCCUCUAAUUCACCUGAGGUAGUGGUAUGAUUUGCGUACACUGGAUAAGUUGUUGUUGUUGGUCCUGCUACUUCAGCGUUGGAAGUGUAAUUACCAUGUUCUGUUAGGUUGGGAAAAAAAUCAAUCUGUUUGUUAUCUGAUCUGCAAUAAUGUUGAGACAUCAUCGAUUGUCCAGGCACAGAAAAUACUGAAACGAUCAGUUUGUCGACGUCGGUUAAGCUAGAAUCAAAAUUACUUAUGUUAGAUCAAGUGUUUUGUGGAACCUCCUUCCACAUAACAAAAUUGCAAACGAACAUUGAAGAUUGUUAUUGUUCACCAGAAUAGUUAUAUAUGAUCUUUGUUUUCGUCAGUUCUUUGUUGUAUUGAAUACUGUGUUGAGCACAGUGCACUGUUGUCAAAGGCGAGCUUAAACCCUGUAGUGAGGCUCAAAACGUGUUGAGCGCUUUCCCUCGCUUAAUGUGCACUUCAGUAUGUCAUCAAAUUUCUAAGAACUUUUCCUUGCCUGUGAACCUCUUCCGAAGAAGCGAUGCUAAACAGUUGAUGUUUCCUGUUAUCUUAAACUUUUUUCAAUUUCUCUGUUCAUAUAUUUGUUGUUCGUGCUUAUAACUAUUACUCUUGGACUAAAGCAUAUAAGUUACUACAUUUUCUCCCUUUGCACCUUUUUUCAUUGACGCCCACACUUAACUUGCUUUGCGCUCAGAGCCCCAACAGACCUUAAAGCUUUUCUGCGUUUAUUUUUCUUUUGAUAACACGCCACAGUGCCCUUAAUGCAAGAUGAAUAACAAAUCAUAAGAGUAAACACUGUGCUUCACUAUAUGUUGUAACACUUGAUCCAAUAUCUUUGAAGAAUAACAUUCACCUUAAAAAGGUGAAAUGUGUGUACAUGAUUGUAAAUGUGUUCAGUAAGUGUGGUUCCUGAUGACCUGCGCCUAGGACAAUUUGCCUUGAGUCCACCUCUGAAGCAUUUCGAGUGCGGCCUUAGGUUGGUCCAUCGGCACCAUAUGACCUGCAUCGUGGACCUUGAGGAAAGUCAGCGGUCCAUAGCUCUUUUGAAUAGCUUUCUCCUCACCGUCUACUGUGAAAGGAACCGAUGGUGCAGCCCCAAAGCCUUUUUUCCCUGACCAUUGUACGGCGUGCACCCAAUUUGAGUUCCCUGUUCCGGUCCAUUCCAAAGAAACAUCAGUUUAGUCGUUGAUUGGCAUUGUCUAUAUUGACAGGUGAAUGAAUUAAGCUUACCGAGCCAGUUGCAGAUAAGGUCAUACUCUCCAGCGUAAAUGAGUAGAUUGACACCGUCUUCAAGAAGUGGAGGAAUAGGGACUUCAAGAUUCUUCAUCCAGUCCAUCUCCAUCGCCUGAUAAACUGAAGAACUACACGAGACAAAAUCAAUAUCGUUGGGAACACCGAGGGAUUUCUUAACUUGGUUGUCGUUGAGGUAAGUAUCCAUUCUCGAGAAGUCAUAGCAGAGUGAUCCCUGACAAGUCUUCCGGAUAUCAUAGUACUGUAGGUAACAAGUCACAAAAAAACCAUUUGAUUGUUGUAGUUAUAUGACACCGUUGUCUCAUUAGCAAAAAAUGAAAGAAGUUCCGCGUUCUUACAUUUAUAUUGCCUGCAAUAUCCAGUAUUCUGUUGAAAAUGCCUGUGCAAUCGCUAAAUCCGGUCAAACAAGCAUCUUCACUACCAUUUGCUGCCAAUAUUUUUCACAGAAUUAGCUGAGACUCUACCCUCCUCAGACACCAUUCACGGAAUUACAUGCACUGACAGUGUGUUGAGUGGGAUAAAGACUUACCGCAAAGCUUAAUGUCUUUUUGACAUUGUGGAUAUAAUUUGUUUAUAUUAUCGUAAUCGUCUUGAUCGAUCAAUUUCAUAUCCAAAGCAUAGUCUGUAUAAGCUUUGUACUGGAUUUCUGGAUUGGUAAGUCCAUUACCAAUGGCAAAUCCCUGAUCAAAAUGUCAUGUAAAAAACAUUUAGUCCUACCAAAACAGGUCAAAAAAUCCCGAUGCAUGCACUAAGCUCGCGCUAUGCGUGGGGUCCAAGGAAAGAUUCGACCACAAGGGCCUAUUGCACGAAGCCUCACCCAAGAGGAUGCUUUCAUGACUCAAACCCCGUGACCUCCUGGUCACAUGGCAACAACUUUACCAGUUAUGCAAAGACUUCCGUUCACGAAAAAACAACUUGUCAUAGAAAGUACCUUGAGGUUUAUGUGAAUUCCUUCUUUAUUUUUGUUUCCUCGAUGAACACGAGAAGCAAAUGCAGGAAUAUAAUGCCCAGCAUAUGAUUCUCCAGUAAUGUAGAAAUCAUUCUUUACAUACUCAGGAUGAGCUUUGAAGAAGGCCUAUCAUAUCGUAAAAUACAUCGUAUAUUUCGAAUUAGUACUAAUCGAGAUGACAACAACAUAUCCAAUGUAAUUUAGGAAAGAAGAAAGGUGAACAAACCUGUAAGAAAUCAUAAAGGUCAUUGCUUACACCAGUUUCAUCAUGACGAAUGUCACUUUCAUCAGAAGUAUAACUAAAACCAGUUCCUGUUGGUUGAUCAACGUAUAUAAGGUUUGACACCUGUCGAUUCGCAAUAAGUUAUGGUAAUAUAUAUUAUUUUUUCAAAUUUAACUACUGCACACCAUAGUAUAAAAAUUAUUUAUACUACUAUUUUCUACUAGUGAAAAUACUUCUUAUUUUCUACUAAUUUAAGUCACAACAAAUGAAUAGCCAACAGUCAAAGAUGAUUAAUUAGUUGGUGAAAAGAAACUUUGCAUGAAAGAAAAAAAUUCAGUCAAAAUUAACAACUUGCUAAUAUAAUAAUAUCAUAUAUCAAAAAAAAUAUCUAACCAACUUUUCUUGAAAGGAACUUGUUUAUACUAUUAAAUAAAGACAAACCCAAAGUUUGUUUCUUAAAACAAAAGGGCAGGUCGAUGCAUUAAGCUUUCGUUAUACGUGAGGUACAAAGAUCGAUCACAAUGCACGUAGCGUUCGUUACGUUACAGUCAGUUUACAUGAUAGCAACUUUAUCAACAACAAUAAACCCAGUGUAUUCCCACAUCGUGAGGCCUGGGAAGGGUAAGAUGUACGCAGUUCAUACCACUACCUCCGGAGAAGUAGCAAGGCUGUUUCCGAUAGACCCCCGGCUCAAGAUAAGGAAUAGUAAUGAAAUCCUUACAAAAGGCAUGGAACAAGAUGACAAGGCAAUAAAUACGCCACGUAUAGGGAAUAGUGAACAAAGAAUAGUAAGCAUGAUAGCAACUUUAUCGAUUACGGAAAAAAGAAAGAGGAAAGAAGAAGAACCUUGUCCCAGCCAUAAUCAUUCCAGACAAGAGACAUGUUGUCUGAAAUUUUGAAAGGUCCAUUUUCAUAAAACAAAGCCAAUUCACUGCUACAUCCUGGCCCUC
rnacentral:lncRNA from 1 species